UUUGUUUUGUUUUUCUUGAAGAGAAGAAGUCCACUGCUGCUUUUCACAUUUAAGAACAGGGAGCCUAAAAGUCCAUUGAUGACCAUGUGAGGAGCUAACUGAGGGAGGUGAAGAAAAGGCUGACGUCCACCCACCAGGAGACAGCCGGCUUGCAACACACAGUGCACUAACAACCCUUCACUUGGAAAUUCUCAUUGGGAGGAAAAGGCCUAACAGGAUAAUAGAUUUAAAAAAAAAAAAAAAAAAAAAAAAAAAAAAAAAAAAAAAAAAAAAAAAA
rnacentral:lncRNA from 1 species